rnacentral:rRNA from 1 species
UACACUCCUGCGGGAGGCAGCAGUGGGGAAUUUUGGACAAUGGGCGAAAGCCUGAUCCAGCAAUGCCGCGUGCAGGAUGAAGGCCUUCGGGUUGUAAACUGCUUUUGUACGGAACGAAAAAGCUCCUUCUAAUACAGGGGGCCCAUGACGGUACCGUAAGAAUAAGCACCGGCUAACUACGUGCCAGCAGCCGCGGUAAUACGUAGGGUGCGAGCGUUAAUCGGAAUUACUGGGCGUAAAGCGUGCGCAGGCGGUUAUGUAAGACAGAUGUGAAAUCCCCGGGCUCAACCUGGGAACUGCAUUUGUGACUGCAUGGCUAGAGUACGGUAGAGGGGGAUGGAAUUCCGCGUGUAGCAGUGAAAUGCGUAGAUAUGCGGAGGAACACCGAUGGCGAAGGCAAUCCCCUGGACCUGUACUGACGCUCAUGCACGAAAGCGUGGGGAGCAAACAGGAUUAGAAACCCGAGUAGUCCCAUGAU